rnacentral:snRNA from 1 species
AUAUCUCUUCGGCGGUACAUAUAUUGAAAUUGUAACGAUACAGAAUGGAUCAGUAAGGUCCACGUGCAAGGAUGGCAUAGAAAAUCGUGAAGCGUUCUCCAUUCUU